AAAUUGAAGAGUUUGAUCAUGGCUCAGAUUGAACGCUGGCGGCAGGCCUAACACAUGCAAGUCGAACGGUAACAGGAAGCAGCUUGCUGCUUCGCUGACAAGUGGCGGACGGGUGAGUAAUGUCUGGGAAACUGCCUGAUGGAGGGGGAUAACUACUGGAAACGGUGGCUAAUACCGCAUGACGUCGCAAGACCAAAGAGGGGGACCUUCGGGCCUCUUGCCAUCAGAUGUGCCCAGAUGGGAUUAGCUUGUUGGUGAGGUAACGGCUCACCAAGGCGACGAUCCCUAGCUGGUCUGAGAGGAUGACCAGCCACACUGGAACUGAGACACGGUCCAGACUCCUACGGGAGGCAGCAGUGGGGAAUAUUGCACAAUGGGCGCAAGCCUGAUGCAGCCAUGCCGCGUGUAUGAAGAAGGCCUUCGGGUUGUAAAGUACUUUCAGCGGGGAGGAAGGUGUUGUG
rnacentral:rRNA from 2 species